rnacentral:rRNA from 1 species
UACAGAGACUGCAAGCGUUAUUCGGAUUCACUGGGCGUAAAGGGUGCGCAGGCGGUUGUGUGUGUCAGGUGUGAAAGCCCGGGGCUUAACCCCGGAAUUGCGCCUGAAACUACAUGACUAGAGCAUUGGAGAGGGUAGCGGAAUUCACGGUGUAGCAGUGAAAUGCGUAGAUAUCGUGAGGAACACCAGAGGGGAAGGCGGCUACCUGGACAAUUGCUGACGCUCAGGCACGAAAGCGUGGGGAGCAAAAGGG